rnacentral:rRNA from 1 species
GUACCGUACGAAUAGGGGCGGCUACCUGGACGGUACCUAGACAAGACAGGCGACGGCUAACUACGUGCCAGCAGCCGGCGGUAAUACGUAGGUGGCGAUGCUUUGUCCAGUAUUUAUUGGGCGUAAAGCGCGCGCAGGCUGGUUUAUAAGUCUGAUGUGAAAGCCCCUGGCUCAACCGGGGAGGGUCAUUGGAAAGUGGGGAACUUGAGUGCAGAAGAGGAGAGUGGACUUCCACGUGUAGCGGUGAAAUGCGUAGAGAUGUGGAGGAACACCAGUGGCGAGGGCGUCUCUUUGGUCUGUAACUGACGCUGAGGCGAGAGAGCGUGGGGAGCGAACAGGAUUAGAUACCUUGGUAGUCCACGCCGUAAACGAUGAGUGCUAAGUGUUAGAGGGUUUCCGCCCUUUAGUGAUGCAGCAAACGCAUUAAGCACUCCGCGUGGGGAGUACGGUCGCAAGACUGAAACUCAAAGGAAUUGACGGGGGCCCGCACAAGCGGUGGAGCAUGUGGUUUAAUUGGAAGCAACGCGAAGAACCUUACCAGGUCUUGACAUCCUCUGACAACCAUAGAGAUAGGGCUUCCCCUUCGGGGGCAGAGUGACAGGUGGUGCAUGGUUGUCGUCAGCUCGUGUCGUGAGAUGUUGGGUUAAGUCCCGCAACGAGCGCAACCCUUGAUUUUAGUUGCCAGCAUUCAGUUGGGCACUAUAAGGUGACUGCCGGUGACAAACCGGAGGAAGGUGGGGAUGACGUCAAAUCAUCAUGCCCCUUAUGACCUGGGCUACACACGUGCUACAAUGGGCAGAACAAAGGGCAGAGAAGCCGCGAGGAUAAGCCAAUCCCACAAAUCUGUUCUCAGUUCGGAUCGCAGUCUGCAACUCGACUGCGUGAAGCGGGAAUCGCUUGUAAUCGCGGAUCAGCAUGCCGCGGUGAAUACGUUCCCGGGCCUUGUACACACCGCCCGUCACACCACGAGAGUUUGUAACACCAGAAGUCGGUGAGGUAACCUUUUGGAGCCAGCCGCCGAAGGUGGGACAGAUGAUUGGGGGAAGUCGAUCAGGCUCAUUUGAUAUUCGUGCCUCCC